rnacentral:rRNA from 1 species
UACAGAGGGUGCGAGCGUUAAUCGGAAUUACUGGGCGUAAAGCGCGCGUAGACGGUUUUGUAAGUCAGAUGUGAAAUCCCUGGGCUCAACCUGGGAACUGCGUUUGAGACUGCAUGGCUAGAGUAUCGAAGAGGGAAGUGGAAUUUCCGGUGUAGCGGUGAAAUGCGUAGAUAUCGGAAGGAACACCGGUGGCGAAGGCGGGUCUCUGGGCCGUAACUGACGCUGAGGAGCGAAAGCGUGGGGAGCGAACAGG